AGAGUUUGAUCCUGGCUCAGGACGAACGCUGGCGGCGUGCCUAAUACAUGCAAGUCGAACGAGAAUUUCUUACACCGAGUGCUUGCACUCACCGUAAGAAAUUCGAGUGGCGGACGGGUGAGUAACACGUGGGUAACCUGCCCAAAAGAAGGGGAUAACAUUUGGAAACAAAUGCUAAUACCGUAUAACCAUGAUGACCGCAUGGUCAUUAUGUAAAAGGUGGUUCUGCUAUCGCUUUUGGAUGGACCCGCGGCGUAUUAACUAGUUGGUAGGGUAACGGCCUACCAAGGUGAUGAUACGUAGCCGAGUUGAGAGACUGAUCGGCCACAAUGGGACUGAGACACGGCCCAUACUCCUACGGGAGGCAGCAGUAGGGAAUCUUCCACAAUGGGCGCAAGCCUGAUGGAGCAACGCCGCGUGAAUGAAGAAGGUCUUCGGAUCGUAAAAUUCUGUUGUUAGAGAAGAAUAUGAGUAAUAGUAACUGAUUAUUCACUGACGGUAUCUAACCAGCAAGUCACGGCUAACUACGUGCCAGCAGCCGCGGUAAUACGUAGGUGGCAAGCGUUGUCCGGAUUUAUUGGGCGUAAAGGGAACGCAGGCGGUUUUUUAAGUCUGAUGUGAAAGCCUUCGGCUUAACCGGAGAUGUGCAUUGGAAACUGGAAGACUUGAGUGCAGAAGAGGAGAGUGGAACUCCAUGUGUAGCGGUGAAAUGCGUAGAUAUAUGGAAGAACACCAGUGGCGAAAGCGGCUCUCUGGUCUGUAACUGACGCUGAGGUUCGAAAGCAUGGGUAGCGAACAGGAUUAGAUACCCUGGUAGUC
rnacentral:rRNA from 1 species